GCUGCAGAACGGAAACAGACGGAAACAGAAGCGAGGAGUCAAAAUGGCGUCUUUGCUCGUCUCUCUUCCUCUUCCCUCCAGACUCCGCUCCUCUCUCGCGCUGUCCUCAUGCUUCCCAAUCCCCCACCUCGUCUUCGCCCGAUCCUUCCCGUGGCGCAACGAUCCUUCGAGGCGUGGAGCUCUCGCUUGCUUCGCCCUCGCGGAGUCCGAUUUCGCUAAAUCGGAGGGCGGUGACAGCAGCGGAGACGGACAAGGAGGAAGCGACGAUGAGGAUCUACUCCCCCUCCUCCGCGACCUAGCUGAUAGCUUCGUUCUCCCUCCGGAUUACCUGUCAAAGCUCCCUCGCGAUCUCCGUCUCGAUUUGAAUGAUGCGGCCUUUGAUCUCUCGAACGGACCUAUCUUGGAUGAGUGUGGCGAAGAGUUGGGGAAUUUGCUUCUGAAUAUUUCAAGAGCAUGGGAACAAGCUGAUACUUCGACGUCCAAUCGCCUUGCCAGGCAGUUGCCAUCAAUGGAUCGCCUCUUGACAGAGGAAGCUAAAGCAUCAUUUGGCAAACGGUUGGUAGCGGCUGGAAGGAGAUUUCAGGCGAUGGGGCAAUACGGUGAUGGAGAGCUGCAAAAGAUAGCCAUAGUGAUGAUUAAGACUGGCAAACAGCUAUCUAGAUUUUCUGUCAUCAAAACAGCUGAAAAAUCUAAAUCAGAAACCAGGGCUUUUAAGUUUGGUGAAUUACAGGUUGCAUUGACUUCUGAAAAGGCUUAUAUUGGUGCUGGAAUUGGUCUUAUUUUUGGGGUUAUUUCAUGGCAGCUAAGUCAAGGCAUCCAAAGCAUACCAGAAAGCUCUCUAGAAUAUGCAAAUGAUAAUGCAUUGCUGUUGGCAAAGUCACUGAGAGGAGCUCUUCUAGUGAUAUUCUAUUCAUCGACGAUUCUAUCUGCAUUUGCAUCAGUAGGGCUUGUGUUUCUUGGAAGACAACUGAGUUCUGAAAACAAAUGAAUGUGAAUGUUAUUUCUAUAAGUAUGGAACUGGAUCUGUGAUUCUCAGAUUGGAGUCUUUGAAAAAAUCCUUUGCUACCAAUGGCAGAAAAUCGUAUGAAAGCAACGCAUUUCAGAUGAGCGUCUUGCAGCCGAGUGCCGUAUCUACCGACCGGAGGACGAAGCGACUUCAUCAGUAUGCUUCAGGGCGUUGGAGGGAGACGUCUCAUGCACGUUGUGAUUCGUCUCUUCUCUGUUCCUUCUUCCUUGUCGUGCUCAGAGAGAGAGAGAGAGAGAGAGAGAGAGAGAGAGAGAGAUGUACACGGUGGCGAGGAGGAGGAGCUGAGGGAGGAGGCGUGGGAGGCCGAGCGGCGGGAGAGAGGCCAUCAGGCCAUGGGAAGUGUGCUCAGUGUCGAGUCAGACCGGCGGCGGCGGGAGGGCGAGCGGGAUCUGCUGCGCGCGAAGGUGGCGGCGAGUGAGGAGGAGCUGCGGGAGGCGCGCACGGCGGCGGCGGCGAGGGAGGAGGCGUGGGAGGCGGAGCGGCGGGAGCGAGACGAUGAGGCCGCGCGGCUGCGGAGGCGGUUGCAGGAGGCGGAGGAGAAGAAGGCCACGGAGAGCGGCGGAGAAGAGGGGGAGAAGGAAAAAGCGGCGGCGGCGCGGCCGGAAGAGGUGGCGGGGAAGUGGAAGCAGCUCUACGUCGCCAUCAAGACGGAGCUCGACGAGCUCAUCCAACGGACCCCACAAGGGGAGAGAUUUUACUUUGGAUCAGAACAAGGCAUGAUCGGGCGACUCCGAAAGGAGCUGAAGACAAAGGAAGACACAAUGGAAACCUUGAAGUCGCACGUCAAGACAAUGGAACAGGAGGCAUCAAAACGAGACCGAGAGAUCGAUAUCUUGAAGCAGAGCUUGAGAAUUCUAAGUAACAAUAAGAAGAGCCACGGCAGGAAGAACUAGAUUUAGGGACAGCGAAGAGGAAACAUUAGUUGCAUUAGGUUGAGUUCCGAAAGCUACUACAAUUCUCGGUAUAAAAUGGAGAAUAGCCUUUGAUGAUUCAGAUCUUAUAUCGAUAAUAUGAUGCAGUACAUCCAUGUAGCUGAUUCAAACUGGUUGAAAUUACAACUUAUUCAUAUGUCAUGUUA